UUUCGCCAUGUUGGUCAGGCUGGUCUUGAACUCCUGACCUCAGGUGAUCCACCCACCUCAGCUUCCCAAAGUGCUGGGAUUACAGGUGUAAGCCACUGUGCCCAGUCAUUUUUUAAUUUUUAAAAUUGUUUUUACCUGCUGCCUUUCAAACUUAAAAUUGCAGUAGUAUAAACAACAAAGUACAAGUGUUGAGAAUGCAAUAUUUCCAAACCUUUUAAAAAUGCGUAUCAGUAGGAUGUACUUGAAAGUAGAUUGAUUAUCUAGCUGAACACAGUGGCUCACGCCUGUAAUCCCAACACUUAGGGAGGCAGAGGCAGGAAUAAAGCUUGAGCCCAAGAGUUCGAGACCAGUCGGAGAAACAUAGCAAGAUCCUAUUCUCCACAGAAAGGAAAAAAAAAAAAAACCCACAAAUUGUAAAAGUAGAUUAUCUAAAGAAACUUUGGCUUUAGUUUAUAUUUAAUUUCCAAGGAAUUAAAUAUUUAGCACAUGCAUUAUCUAAUCUAUCCUUGUAUUUGCAAUCAGGGAAACAAAAUGUACCCAUUUUGUAGAUUAAGGAAUUAAGACAUAUAAAAUGGAAUGACUUGCUCUAAACUGGGUAGUGUAUCCUUUAGGAUUAGAUUUAGCUGUGACAGAAAAUCCAGAAUAAUAGUUGCUUACAAGGUCAAAUUUUAUUUCCCAUGCAAAAGUCCAGAGGGAAGCAGUUCAGGGCUGGUAGAUCAACCUCAUAAAAUCAUCAGAUUCCUGUACUGUUGAUCUGCCAAUCUCAUCACUCUGUAGACUUGGGGUCUCAGGGUAGCUGCACUAGCACCAGCCGACACAUUUGUAUUUCAGCCAAUAGGAAGAAGCAGAUAUCUUUCCUUUUAAACAGCUUUAUUGAGAUGUAAUUCACAUGCUGUGCAAUUCACCCAUUUAAAGUAUACAAUUCAGGCUAGGCCGAUGGCUCACUGUAAUCCCAGCACUUUGGGAGGCCGAGGUGGAUCACCUGAGGAUCAGGAGUUCAAGACCAGCCUGGCCAACAUGGUGAAAGCACAUCUCUACUACAAAUACAAAAAUUAGCCGGGAGUGGUGGCACAUGCCUGUAAUCCCAGCUACUCGGGAGGCUGAAACAGGAGAAUCACUUGAACCCGGGAGGUGGGGGUUGCAGUGAGCCGAGAUCGUGCCCCGGCAUUCCAGCCUGGGCAACAAGACUCUGUCUCAAAAAAAUAAAUAAAUAAAAAUAAAGUAUACAAUUCAAUGGUUUUUAGUGUAUUUAUAGGGUUGUGCAACCAUCACAAUUUAACUUUAGAAAAUGUUUGUCCAUUCUAAAACCUCACAUGCCUUAGCAGUAACUCCCUAGCCCAGUCCCAAGCAACUACAAAUGUACAUUCUGUCACUCUCUAUUUGCC
rnacentral:lncRNA from 1 species